rnacentral:misc_RNA from 1 species
AAAUUGAUUAUGACUGUUGGAGGAGCUACUGCAUUAGCUGCUGGAGUUUACACAACCAGGGAAGGUGCCAGAGUUACCUGGGGUUAUAUCAACCGAAUACUGGGGCAACCAUCACUGAUCCGAGAAUCAUCCAUUGUUAGAUUUCCAUUUUCUGGGGUAUUAUCUCGUGUAAGGAACAAUGUUUCCAAAUAUAGCACAACAGCUGGGNNNNNNNNNNNNGGAAAGAAAGGGUGGCUUCAAAAAUAUUGUUCUUCAUCCUUCAUUGCAAAGGAGAAUAGAGCACCUUGGUAGGGCUACAGCCAACACUAAAACUCACCAGGC